rnacentral:rRNA from 1 species
GAACAGAGAGUUUAACUGGGGUAGUUUUUUUGUAAAAUCUGAGGUUGUAAAAGGCAUGUAAAAGUGGGGUUAGGUCCUUUAGAUAAGGAUAAUUUGAGUGAGUUACUUUAGGGAUAACAGCGUAAUAGUCCUAGGGAGAUCGUAUCUAUGGGAUUGAUUGCGACCUCGAUGUUGAAUUAAAAGAUCAGUGUAGAGCAGGAGCUACAGGGUGAGGGUUUGUUCAACCUUUAAAUUUUUACAUGAUCUGAUUCAAACCGG